UACGAAGGGGGCUAGCGUUGUUCGGAAUUACUGGGCGUAAAGCGCGUGUAGGCGGGUCUUUAAGUCAGGGGUGAAAUGCCAAGGCUCAACCUUGGAACUGCCUUUGAUACUGGGGACCUUGAGUCCGGGAGAGGUGAGUGGAAUUGCGAGUGUAGAGGUGAAAUUCGUAGAUAUUCGCAAGAACACCAGUGGCGAAGGCGGCUCACUGGCCCGGAACUGACGCUGAGGUGCGAAAGCGUGGGGAGCAAACAGG
rnacentral:rRNA from 1 species